GUGCCAGCAGCCGCGGUAAUACGGAGGGUGCGAGCGUUAAUCGGAAUUACUGGGCGUAAAGACGCAUGCAGGUGGUUUGUUUAAGUUCAGAUGUGAAAGACCCGGGGCGUCAACCUCGGAAUAGCAUUUGAAACUAGGCAGACUAGAGUACUGUAGAGGGGGGUAGGAAGUUUCUAGGUGUAGCGGUGAAAUAGCGUAGAGAUCUGAAGGAAUACCGGUGGCGAAGGCGGCCCCCUCGGACAGAUACUGACACUCAGAUGCGAAAGCGUGGGGAGCAAACAGGAUUAGAUACCCUGGUAG
rnacentral:rRNA from 1 species